UUGGAGGGCAAGUCUGGUGCCAGCAGCCGCGGUAAUUCCAGCUCCAAUAGCGUAUAUUAAAGUUGUUGCAGUUGAAAAGCUCGUAGUUGAAUUUCGGGAUCAAUAUGCCGAUCAUGCCUUGGUAUGCACUGGUAUCUUUGAUUUCUCCCUUCUGACGAACUUUGAUGUCAUUAAUUUGGUGUCAUAGGGAAUCAGGACUGUUACUUUGAAAAAAUUAGAGUGUUUAAAGCAAGCUCACGCUUGAAUACAUUAGCAUGGAAUAAUGAAAUAGGACGUUUGAUUCUAUUUUGUUGGUUUCUAGGAUCGACGUAAUGAUUAAUAGGGAUAGUUGGGGGCAUUAGUAUUCAAUUGUCAGAGGUGAAAUUCUUGGAUUUAUUGAAGACUAACUACUGCGAAAGCAUUUGCCAAGGAUGUUUUCAUUAAUCAAGAACGAAAGUUAGGGGAUCGAAGACGAUCAGAUACCGUCGUAGUCUUAACCAUAAACUAUGCCGACUAGGGAUCGGAUGAUGUUAAUUUUUUAAUGACUCAUUCGGCGCCUUACGGGAAAC
rnacentral:rRNA from 1 species